rnacentral:rRNA from 1 species
GUCGCACGGGUCCCGCAAGGGACCAGUGGCGAACGGGUGCGUAACACGUGAGGAACUUGCCUAUCGGCGGGGGAUAGCCGGCCCAACGGCCGGGUAAUACCGCGUACGCCCCCUGGAGGGCAUCCCCCGGGGGGGAAAGCAGCAAUGCGCCGAUAGAGAGCCUCGCGGCCUAUCAGCUAGUUGGUGAGGUUACGGCUCACCAAGGCGACGACGGGUAGCUGGUCUGAGAGGAUGAUCAGCCACAUUGGGACUGAGACACGGCCCAGACUCCUACGGGGGGCAGCAGUGGGGAAUCUUGCGCAAUGGGCGAAAGCCUGACGCAGCGACGCCGCGUGAGGGAUGACGGCCUUCGGGUUGUAAACCUCUGUCGGGAGGGACGAAGCUCUGACGGUACCUCCAAAGGAAGCACCGGCUAACUCUGUGCCAGCAGCCGCGGUAAUACAGAGGGUGCGAGCGUUGUCCGGAAUCACUGGGCGUAAAGGGCGCGUAGGCGGCUGGGUAAGUCGGGGGUGAAACGCUGCGGCUCAACCGCAGCACUGCCUUCGAGACUGCCUGGCUUGAGCACGGUAGAGGCUGGUGGAAUUCCCGGUGUAGCGGUGGAA